UCUGUGGUUUUGUUCAUAGACAAUAAAGAAAAUCAUCCUAGUUACUUGAAUAAAUUAUUCAUUCCUCCAAUAUCAUGGAUUUGGUUUUUAAACCCCCUUAAUAUCAGCUAUUAUUUUAAUAUCCUGUAGUUAAUUGGCUUGUUCCCAGUCAAUUGAGUGACACGUUAACAUAACAUUUCUCUCUUACUAUGUUUUUAAUAAUAAAGUGUGUCUUUCUGUGUAGUGGUAUCCUAGAGCACAGCCUAUUUCUUACAUGCAAAUUCUAAGUAUAAAUAUUGAUGUGAGUCAUUUUUCCUGUUUUAUGAAGACAACUCUAGAUUCACCACUAGCAGAUUAAGCUGUGAGCAAAACCAUGAAGUUGAGGACAUUUUUCCUUGGUGUUGUCCCACUUUAGUGGGCUUUUCUCGUUUCCUCCUCGCAGGUCUCUGAUAGGUAGGUGCCACCUAAGCCCCAGUCCUGUAUUCCAGAACCUGCGUUCUGCCACCACCCCUCCUUUCUGCAAGCCGCUGGCCUGCUGCUGUACUUUGUCUUUUGUCUGUACUUCCCAGCAGCUUGGUGUGGGUGAAAGUGCACUAGGUGACAAACAAAAGAGCUGGCGCUUAUUGGGCACCACGCCACAUUAGCUCAUUAAAUAGCUGUAACCGUUUGACACGGUAGAUGUUGCCUCUUGCCACACCAAAGAAAACGGAGGCUCGCAGAAGCAGGCAAACAGUUCCUGGAACGAGGCAGCCCAGCACUUCUCUAAGUAGGAAGACCUCACGUCUGGACUAAAGUGUGGAAGAGUUCUCACAUUAGGCAGGCUGACUUCAGGUUUUACAGCAGCCAGAGCACCCCUUGAAAGAGGGCUCUCCACCAAGCAGUCUUAAGUUAUGGAAAUGGAAUUGAAGUUUAUUUUCCCCUUUGGUGUGAAAUUACAGGAACAUAGGAAAAAAACAAAUGAAAAGUAACUCAUCUUACCAGGAAUUCACUUUCGUGUUCCACAUCCCUGCUCACUUUGAAGAAAUUUCUUCUAUGAAUAACUGAAGUCCAUCUCAAAAUAUCCUGUUUUUCUGAAAGUUGUAUUAUACUCGGUAGUUCUUUCUGUUCUUUCUCAUUCUUUUAAUGUUUCAUCUGAGUCUGUGUCCAGUCUUACCUCUUUUGAAUGUAAAACUAAAAGGUGAGGGUAGAGCACUUGCUUAGCAUGAAUGAGACUGGGUUCAAUCCCCACAAACAACAAAUGAAACAGAAACUACCCACGAGUGUUGCCCUGUGCAUUUAAACUCUUGAUGUUCUUAUGAUGUAAUCCCCUAAAUUCUUUCAGAAGUAAAAUAUCACUAAAAUCUAAAACAAAAAGAGGGAGCUCUCUGAGAAGGCUCAAUGUAGUAGUUAAUGCCAAAACUUUUAGAGAUAACAGUGAGCUGUUUUCUCCCUUGGAUGAGAUGGGGGCAGAGAGAUAAACUAAAUGACCCCUUGAUGAUCCCACAGCUCUACGAUUUUGUGAUAAUCUUGGCUUCUAGCAUCUCAUUUCCACCACAUGCUAAAAUCUAAUCUGCCCUAGAAUACAAAUAUUUAGCAAAUAAAAUCCUUUUAAUGCAGAAAUAUUCUGCUUGUUUCUUGGAAGUAAUUUUCUUAACAAUUGCUUACACUUACAUACAAGGCAGUCCAUUUCAAAUCAUUAAAUCCAAAGACAAUCAUGGAAGAGAAAUUAGUAGAGAUAUUAUAUAAUAAGCAUAAUCGUUCUUUAACUUUUGCUUCUUUGCUCCACAUUAGAAAUACUUCUAUAGAGAUGGUUAAAGAAUUCAUGAAUUCUUCUAUUUUUAAAACCCUACUUGGUUUUUCUACAUUGUGAUUGUUUCUAUUUAAACAGAAGAGCUUUGUUAACAUCAGUGAGUAUUUUACUUGCAGAUUAGCUACCUUGCCUAGGAGGGCUGCCAUAGAGUGAACUGCAUCCAACAAUCCUGUCUGGGGAGGAUUAGCAGUAGUUAGAUUAAGCAAUCUUCCAGUUUGCCAUGUAAUCCACUAGUACUGGUUUUGUGCACUAAGCUGAUGAUGAUAUUUAGAAGCAAAACAAUCAGGUUAUUAGUUUGCAUUACUUUUAAUCAGCUAUUUUUGUACUCACUGAAAUUUAGAAAUAAUUUCUAUAUGAAAAUAAAAUACAUAAUAGAAGUCUCAUGUCAGAUUGAAGACUUCCUUGACUAUAGAUUCAGGUGCCAAUAUUAUUAUUGUUGUUGUUUAUAGCAUUACUAUAAUGAGAAUGUGAUAAAAGUGUUCCUAAAAACUACCAUCCUGAGCUAGUCCUGGCAAAGCUUUACAUGUUUUAUUGUUACAGAAUUAUCACUACGGUUCUCUGAAAUUUUACUAAAAUAAAAAUGGUGAGUUAUGCAUAUAUUCUGGGUCUCUCCACUAUAGUGACUUCGACUCUCUGUGAAUGUUUUUGCAAUGAGUUGUUCAGCAUUUGGCUGAUUAUUUUUUUGUUGUUAUUUGGUCCAACUGCAGUUUGGAUGAUAUAGAAUGAGCAUAGAAAACCAUAGCAUUAAUCUUGGACUGUAAAAGCCCUAUUUGUAUUGUGACACAAAUAUAAAUGUAAAGCAAGCAGAAAAAGAUGCUCUGUAAGCUCUUUUCUGAGCUCAGUAUUGUUAGAAAAUAUUUAACUCUUAUGUUGUUUGGUAACUUUUCCAUUGUAUGUACUGUAAACGCAAAAAGAAUUUCUCUGGGGUGAAAUAAUGAUUCUGAAGUUCAUAAUGAAUUAUUUUUUAUCAAAAGUGUGUUAGCUAUCUAGGUAAAUAAAUGUGCGUGUUGACUUUAACACAAUUAAUAAGGGCCAUGAAAUAUGGAAUUAAUAUUCAAUGCAUAGAUCUACAAAUAUUUGAUAUAAGGUAUAGAAAGGUGAAAAUACAUAAGAACAUUAAUAUUCCUCUCUUAAGUAAAUAUAUGACUUUUGACUUGAAUAGUGAAUUUAUAUACCUAAAAAACAGCAGCAUUUGGUUUUGUUAAAUAUAAGCAAUGACUACAACAAACGUAAUGUAAGCCCCACUGUAUUCAAAACUAGAAAUCAUUUUUAUGUAAUAAUUGUAAUUGGAAUAGAAUUGUCACUAUCAAUAACAUGUGUGUGCUUAUUAUAGCACUUAGAGAAAAAACUGAUAUGAACUACUGCAGCCAAACCAUCAUUGAUCAUUAAUGACAUUCUUUUAAGUAACAGAUUAACACUGGAUGAUUCCUCAGGCAAGUAUGAUUGGAGACUACACUGGAAACAGUUUCCAGUUGAUGAUUUUACACAGCUACACUUGUAUAUAUCAAUCAAGCAGAUGCCCCAGUUUGUCAAGAUUUUCUUUCUGACAUCAAAACUGAGAUGAGUUGAGAUGCGUAAAUUCCUGACCCUCCCCAGGUGUUUACCUUUGGGCGUAAGAGGGAUUAUAAACCCUGUUUUAUUCAUUCUGUUUCCCCAACUUCUAAAAGCAGAGCAUAAAAGUUAUCCCAAAAACUAACCCGGUACCGCCGUGCAAUAAAUGGGUAGUCUACAACUCUAGAAAAGACCCUUAAGGUUGGCGGGGCCCUCAGAGAUCAUGAAUGAUGGUCCCACACAUUUGCUGACAUCUACAGCAAUGCUGAAACAUCAUAAAUGGUAGGAAUCUGCUGGCCUCCAAAAUUCAGGCUAAUCUAGUUGAAAGGAAGUUGUUAAAUUUAGACAUAUGUGGCUUUCUGUAAAUUCCACUUGUAUCCUACAUGUAUGCUUGGGACUAAUCAAAUGCUGACUUCCCCUACAAUGCCAUGAUAAUCUCAUUUCUUUCUAACAGUUUUUAAUUCCCUCUGGGUGUUUCCUUUAAUACCCUAGUAAUUUUCUUCUGAGCAUACUAUGAUUUUUUAAUGUUUGACCAACGAAAGAUAAAACACAUUUAGCAAUAGCUUCAUUAUAACACGAUCUUUCUUUAACACAGAAUUUGCUUUUGUGCCAUUUAUAUCAGAGAAGUGCCUGAAAUCUCCAAACGCCUAAGUAUGUAAUCCAAGUCCCCACUGUAUCUAAUCCAUAUACCCCACUGUAUCUCUAUGUGGUUGGGUCUUUUUCCUUUAUGAUUUGAACCUCCACAGUAAAAUUUCACAUUUAUUUCUAUGAAAUGUAUCUCAUUAAAUUUGCUCACUGCUGUGUAGGUUUUGAGAAACUGCUUCCCUCCCUCUUUUGAAAUCAGAUCCAUAAUCAUGCCCCUCCUCAAAUACAGAAGGAGCCUCAGCUUAUUCAUUGUCCCUAUCACUGUGUCUGAAACAGAAGAGGCAUCCUGCUAUUUUCAAGAAUCAAAACACUCAAAACUUGGAAUUGGAUGGCUAUAGUUCUAUUUUAAAACUUUGAAAUAGGAAUUAUUUGUGCCUUAUUUCAUUACUUAUAUUACAAUCAAAAACAGAACAAAGGAAUAUUCUUAGAUGUGACUGUACAAUACCCACUUAGCACCCUUCCAGAUUACCUUCCUGUGGUUUUAAGUGACUUUCUGUGAGUUUCUAGAAAGAUGAUUUCCAUCUCUCUGGAAAAACUCUGUGCAACACUUUUCCUGUGGAGGCUCAAACAGAGUGAUAUUUGAAUUGGUUGUUGGAAAGGAAAGAGAGAGAGAAAAAAAAAGAGUAUUGACAAAAUAAGAGGAAGGCAGAUCAGGGAUGGGUUGAGAGAAGUAGGGUGGGAGAGAGGAUUCCAUUCAGUCCUUGAAGCCUCACCCCUGUUUCCAAAUGGCUGGAGUCCCUUCCUUCCCUUUCUUUUUGCAGAGCCAAAUUAUUUGACCCUUUCACCCAACCCUUUUCCACUGGCAUAGCAUGACCUGUACUUCUCCCUCCGUGAGCCUCCUUAAGGAAAUUUGUGCCAGAAGACAGCAGAACUUCAGCGGAGACAACUUCUGAAGACACAUAGAAAGGCUAGUAACCACCUGUCACAUUUAAUAAAAUCACAGUAAUUAAUUGAGAUUAAUCAAAACAACUAUAGAAAUACCAGCCUUGUUUCCUUGCCCCUGGGUUUCUAUCGUUUCUGAGGCAGAAAUGAAACAUGGAUACCAAGGGACAAGACUCCCGCCCGUCCUUGCAGGCAUUCAUAAUGUGAGGCCUUCUUUCACUCUCCUUACUCAUCCUCUCCUCCCUCCCAGCGGCUGCAGUCUGUCCUUCCCAUCCCAAACAGCGUUCCCUCCCUCGUAAAGAAACUGACAAUCUUAUGGUUCUGUUCUCUUUCGCAGCCACCCGUGUUCCCGUUAUUUCUGUUGCAGGGACUAUAGUGUUCCUCAGUUACGCAAGAAAAACACACAUUUACUCUCAUCCUGAGAUGCAUUUUUUCUAAUUGUUCUGCAGUUAUACAGGCAUUUUUAAAUUUCAUAUUCCCUUGCUUGUAUCAUUACUAUUCACCUGGAUUUUCACAAGGCCAAUUCGUAUCCUUCAAGUCUCCACCAAGAUUCAGGGUACUGCAAGAGGAUUUCCCUGACUUGUUGUCUGAAACAACUAAACUGGGUCAUUCCUUUGUCCACUACCCUGUUUAUUUUUCUUAAAGCAUCAUUAUUCCCUGGAAUUAGAAGCAUACUUUAUUUACUUACUACAUACUUUAUUUACAUACUACUGAAAUAUAAGCCCUCUAAGAACAAAGAUUCUGUUUUGUUCAUACUUUUGUUCCUACGGCCGGGAACAAUGCCCCCAUAUAACAGUUUUUUUAAUAAACAUGUGCUCAGUGAAUAAAGCAAAAAUGAGUUAUUUCCCAGGAAUUGGGAAGAAGGUCACAUAACCACAACAGCGAUUUUUUAAUUAUAGUUUCCAACUUUCUUUUGCUUCAAAAUUAUGUGCCACUACAUGGUAGAGCUUGUUUAUUUUAAAGUAGCCUUGGUUUCAGUGUUGAAGUUAUAAUCAGAAGUGCUUUGAUCUUCUAAAAAUCGCUUUGCAGACAGCUUUAAUAAAGUUUUUUUUAAAAAUUCACAAUCCUCCCAACAGAGAAAACUAAUACUGAGCUUUUAGUAUGUUUAGAACCUUUGCAAACCCUUCUAUCUUUUCCAGAGAUUUCUCUUUCAAAUUCUCAUGCUGCCGAAUCCUUUUAAUCUGUUCUCUGAACUUUUAAAAAUCUGUUCUCAGAAAUUUGCCAUAUUUCCAUGAUUUUUUCAGACCUAUCCCCACCAUAGCUUUUAAAUUGUAUGUUUAUAAUGUUGGAAGAUUCGUUUUGCUUCUUCCUGGCCAACCAGUUCCCCUUAGAAGUCUGGAAUUGAUUUAUCUUGCCCUUUUUCAUUUUCUCAAAUUUUCUGACAAUAAAAUUGCCAUCAACACAAGUCAGUGAUCUAUCUGAUGUCCUGAGGUUAGCUGAAAAUGAAUUCCAAGCUGAUGAAGACAGCAUCAUAAAACGCUUGUUUCAUUGUCUUAAAACUUGAUCCCACCACUAUAGAUACACCAUGAGAACUAAAGUAAUGCAUAAAUCCUCAAGACUUUCCAGUGAUUCACUUAGUGAUUAUUGUAGACCAAUUUUGUGCUUGAGAUUGAGGUAUUCAUGAUACCAAAACAAAAGCAAAAAGCAAACUCUCAGGUAAGGCACACCUGUUGAUUCUUUUGCAAAUACUUAUUGGCCAUCUGCUGUAUGCCGGGUACCAUGAUAGACACAUAAACAGGGCGGAAACAUAAUGUCAACAAUACAGACACACUCGGGUUUAAAUAUACUACACAUGAGUUUAUAGAAUGCUGAAUCAUUUCCCUCAUCUAUAAACUGAAGGUAAUAACACCCAUCUAAAGAACCAUAAUAGGUUGAGAAAAGUAAAAUAUUCCAUGUAUUGGUGAUGCAAUAUGAGCAAAGUAAAUUCCCUUUUCUCAAAAAAUCUGAAGUAUAAUAAAUAAUAUACAAAAAUUUAAUUUCUAUGAUUACUGGACAAUCAAAUAUACAUGGCAAAAUGUGGUGCUCUCAUACAGAUGCUCUUUGAUUUAUACUAGGGUCACAUCCCCAUAAAUCCAUAAUAAGUGAAACUGUCAUAAGUCAAAAAUGCUUUUUUUUUUUCCUUUAGUUUUUUUGACACAGGGCUUUUUGACAUUAUUAACCCAGGUUGGCCUUCAACUCACAGCAGUCCUCCUGCCUUAGCCUCCCAAGUGGUGAAAUAUCAAGAGUGUGCCACCACACUGGGCUCAAAAAUUAUUUACUAUGCAUCUAACCUAGCAAGUAUUACAGUCUUGCAACCCCACACACUGCGUGGAGUGUGGUUGUUAACCUUGGUGACCACGUGGCUGACCAGGAAGCACUGCUGCUGCCCAGUGUCACAAGACAGAAUCAGACUGCAUACUGGUAGCCCAGGAAAUGGUCAAAUUUCAAAGUAGAGAUUCUUUUGGGUGCAUACCAUUUGUUACCAUCAUAAUAGCAAAAGAUCAAAGCAUCCUAAAUAGACCGUUGGAAGUCAGAAAUAUCUGUAGUAUGAGUGUGUAUGAGAAAUGAGUAGGUUUUUUGUGGCCUGUGACCCCUAAUGGUAGUCUGGGUGUCUGCAGAGUAAUGACAUACUCAACGGACAUUAAGCCUGUGAACAAAGAGACAUCUUCUAAAGUCACUUUCUUUCCUACCCCGAAAUCAUGGAAUCUUCUCCCAGAGGUAAAAUGUUGACCUCCCGAAACUUCAUGUUAGUAUUAGUCACUUAAAUUCUCCUUGAAGAUUUUAGAAAUGAAUAAGCGGGUUAAUUUCUGUGCAUUAAACAGGGUUGCUCUAGAUAUGAGCCCUAAUUUUUACAAGUUAUUUUAUAAAGAUUGAAAUUGACUACCCACCGUGUAAAAAUUACAAGUUUAUCCUUUGUCUGCAUUUGAAAUUAGUGAAGCUUCUUGGCCCAGAAAUAAGUAAAAAUUUGACAACUCUGGAAAUGUUUGCAUGUUUUCCUCUGUACAAACUGACUUCGUAAGACGGAAGACUCUGGGGUUUCUGGUUUCUUGGGCACUGGAGGCUAAAAGUGGAAAAUACAAACAGUGACUAACACAUUAGUCAUAAUAAGCAGCUGUUUCCUAACAGAACAAGAAACAACAUGCUUCAAACGCUGCAGUAGGAAGGACAAAAUAAAAAAAACAUGUUGUCUGGGAGAGGGCUUUCACAGAGAACCCAAUGAAAGGCACAAAAGUUAAAGAAUUUUUAGUACUAUACAGCUGCCCAUGAAGUUACUUUAAUUACUUUUUGUCUUCUUUAAUAAAUGUUGAAUGGGUGAGACACCUACCCAAAGUCUUCAGAAAUUGCUAAAGGCUGAGAGGCUGAGAUUAUUUUCUAGGUGUCCCCUAGAGGGCAGCAGUCGCCCAAAACACAGGAGAGGAUUUGUAAGGAGUCUGCUUUCCAGCUCAACCCUUUCUUCAGACCCUGUGCACACAAUUCUUUUACUAGCAAGUUGACAGUGACAUAUUUAUUUCUGAGUACCUAACUUUAAAAACCACAAAAUAUUAGAAAACAACAUGAUGUGAAGUUUAUUUUAGGAAGACUGGAAAAAAUUGUACACAGUGUAUACUUCUUUAUUUGUGUGUGUGUAUAUAUAUAUAUAUACAAUACACACAAUAUUCAUGUAGCCUAGUUGGCCUUUUUAAUGUAUUUUUAUGUAUUUUUUAUGUAUUUGAGGCUAAAGAAUGGUGUAGGAAAAGGUGGCAAUAUGUAUAAAGUCAAGGAAAGCAAUGUUUUUUCCUGAGUUGGAAACGGAAACAAUUUAUAUGUACUACCAAGUACCAUUUAUUCACUUGAGAGUUUCCUAAUGUGUAAAAGCCAUUAUGUUUGAUACUACGGUAAUGUAUGGGACAAAGAAACUACUUCAGGGAACUUAUAAUUUAGAAAUCAGUUAAAUUACUGGACAUAGGGAGAGAUGACAGUAAUUCCAAACUUGGGAAGUCUGAUAAAAAUAUAAACUAAAGAGAACUUUUGUUUUGGAGGAACACAGGUCUGCAAUCUUUUUCCUGUUCCUAUGGAACAUGUGACUUCAUAUUUGGAAGGUGAUAAGGAGUACAGGAAGUUUCCUGAGAGACAAAGGAAGAUCCUGAGUUUGCGCUUUUGGAACGCUGAGGUUUUCUCUUUUAGUUAAUGUUGCUGUUUAAAUAUUUCAUUCUGCUCAGAGUCAUUUUUAUGCAAAGGAUGCAACUUUCAAAACAGCCUUUUUUGCAAGGUUGUCCUAAAAGCAUCCUGUAAUACCUGUGAAUUUAUCUUUCAGGAUCUCUUUUAUUGUAUUUGUAUUAUUUGCUGAUUAAACUUCUUUAUUCACUUUAAUAUUAUAAAAUUGGGAGCAGUAUGCAAACCUGAAAUAUGCGAAGAGAAAGAUUAUGUCCGAAUUAUAACUCAGUCGAUAUUCACUGAGCUACUUGGGUUGCUGUAUGGAGCAGAGGACAAGGAAAACUGUUUAUCCCUACAGCAAGGAGUGGCUUUGCAAACAUUCCUGUGAUAACUUUUUGUCCAAUCGAGUGGUGUGAUUUGUCUGUGUGAUCAUUUGUUUAUUCAGUUUGUUCUGACUGGAAAUUAUAUAUAUAUUCGCAAUACUUCUUGGGAAAACUUUACCAACACAUCUGUAGCUGUGGUCUAUAUUAAAAUCAAAACUUUACUGAGAUGUUAAGAAAUGGACAUCAAACCCAAACAACAUGACUAGUGAUUACUUACAGUGGUCUCAUUUUAAAUUAGGAGUGACACAUUUGCUUGAAACAUUAAAACUGGUAAAUGUUUUAAGUGCCGUGGCUUUGAAGAGUUGAAGUUGUAGAACUACAGUGUUGUCAACAUAUAGAUGAUGCAGAGCUGGGUAUUUAGCUCAGUGACCUAAGCGCCUGCUUGGCAAGUACAAAGUUGUGAGUUCGAUCCCUGGUACAUAAAAGAAAAAAAAUACAGAUGAUGCUUAUGAAACCAGAAAUGAUUCAAGAAAGGGACACAGUUGCAACACCUCUACCAGGAGCCAUCACAUUUUGAAAGACUGUUUUUGCUUGCCUUGGAUUGACCUAGUCAGCUGUUAUUCCCAGGGUUAUGAUGCUUCAUUUUAAGGUUUUUACAAAAAAAAAAAAAAACAGAAGCCUUUAAAUACUUCUCAAAUGAAGAGCUUCUUUAGAUGAAAAUAGAAAAUUAUGACUAAAAAAGAUCUAGACAUUUACAUUUAUUUUGUAUGGAAAAAUGCUGUGUAAUUUUCUUCUGCUUCUUAAGGGGUGGAAAUUUUUCUUAAAAGGCAAAAAAAGUACAAUUUGCAUACUUUAGGUAUCCAAGCCAAUCUGGACUCUAUAAAUACCCCCAAUAUAAAUUUGCAUUUGCAGUUUGAGAUGAGCUUCUAAGUGGUUAAUGUUAAAUCUCUGUUCCUCUUGCCUCUACCAUUUCUAUACACUUAUUUAAAACAAUUAAUAUAAUCAUUGUGCAUAUUUUGAUAUAACUAUCCUAGGAUAAGGCCUCUUUUUGAGAAUGGUUGAGAAUGGUUAUUUUGGAGGUCACAGUAGCCAAGUGAGUUUAAUUCUGGUUCCAACAAAGAACUGUAGAUUGCUCAUUGCAUAUAAGCUUUUCAAUCUGCAGAUCUUUCCUAACUUGUGGUUCAUUUUGAUAAUUUCUAUUCACAAAGUCCUACAAUUGAAUUUUAGGUGCAAAAAUAUUUUUAAAACAUUAUAAAUGCUCACUAUAGUUAAUAAAAAUGCCAGAAUAUAUUAAUAGAAUAAUAAUCUAACUUGCAUAAAAUUUAUAGAUUGUAAAAGCACUUUCUGAUGUACAGCAAUGCAUUUGAACUUCAUAACAAUCCUGGAUGGGUGUGAUUAAAUUCACCUCUCAGAACUGGACAGCUUGAUGGAUUUUCCCAAGGUCACGUAGUCAGAAAAUUGCUAAACUAGUUCCCAGGCAAGCUUUCUUACUCUGAAUCCAGAUCUAAGUGGCAUUCUAGUGAGGCUGUACAUCCUACAUUGUCAUAUGCAUUUGAUUAUAAAUAGCAGGCUACUUAUAUGGUGUUGCAAAAUAUUUCCAGCAGCGCUGCUGUUGUGUGUGUGCCAGGCCAGGCCCUAGUGUACAGGUACAGUUACCCCCUCCUCUUUUAGAGGAGCAGGGCUGCACAGUGUAUCCACAGGUACACAGUAACCAGAGGAGCCAGGUCCAAGGGUGUUCAGCUCCUGAACCACACUGCCUACCCAGGAAGACACUUCUUUCUAAUACCACUGUUAGUUUAGAGCAGACUUUCCUCCUCUAAAUGUUCUAUUUAAAAAUCCUAUUGGACAUCAUUUCUAUCCGGCUGUCUCAUUUUGGAAAUAUUCAUGAGACAGACUUAAUUGUAUUCAUGAGAGGGAUUUAUAUUGCAUUCGUACCAUAUAUCUACUGUGUUUACUGAAUGCAAGGUUUUGAUUAAAUGCAAGGUUUUCUUUUGAUGAUGCUGUGGGCUCCCUGUUCUGAGUGUGAUUUGUAUGGCAAUUCAUACUGAAAGAAUGAUCAAUAUGUGCCGUGCAUAUGUGCAGAGCACCAUGUCCCAUGAACUUCAAAAGACCAACUGGAGUCACACAGUAAGACAGGGCCCUUUGAGAAUGACCUCACACUCUCUUUGGUUGAAGAGUUUGCUUGAGUAAAGCUUGGGACAGUGUUGGUGAUGCUGUUAUCCACCUCCCAAACCCAAGUCCAUAAAAAGUUACAAAUGGACGAGCAUGAUGGCGCAUGCCUAUUAUCCAAGCACUGGGGAGGCCAAGGCAGAAGGACUGUCAUGAGUUCAAGGCCAGCUGGGGCUACAUAGUGAGUUCAAGGCCAGCCUGAACUAUGCAGCAAGGCCUUGUUUCAAAAAAUAUAGUUAUAAAAAGUUAAGAGAUAAGAGGAGAAGAUUUUGUACAGCACAACAAUCCUGCUGGUCAGGAUGUGAUGGAACAUCUUCCUCAAGUGAUAACCCACUCAAGGAUAUCAACAGGGGUAAGCAGUGGAGUGACAGCCAAAAGAUAACACACUUACUGGCCUCCAAAGGGAGUGCCCAAGCUGCCAGUGUGUCCACAGAAAAUGCAAUCCAAUUAUAAUUAUAAGUUCUUUAUGAUUUAAGACUAUGCUUGUCCAUACAUAAGAGAACAUCAGAUACUGUAAGUAGGAUACAAAAGGAAUAUAAUUUAAACCCUUCCAGUAUAAACAUUCAGUCCAACCAAAUAUUUGGUGGGUACUAUAAAUACGAUUUUUGGGUGGGGACAAAACAGUCACUUAUUUUACAACAUGUUAUGAUGCAUGCAGACUGUUAUGCAGGUUCUCUAAGAGGGUAUUUUGUUCGUGUGAGUAGCUUAUUUACAACUAGCAAAAACCACAUGUCUGACUACAGACGUCAGAUCUGUUGUAUUACUUACAUGAACAUAAUAUUUGAUUAAAUUUACCAGCAUAAUCAACAAGGAGUCUGGUUGGCACAUUCACUGCAUUCUAUGGCAAGUCUAGGGAAGCAUUGUUUAAUUAGAUUUUUCACUUAGUACUUAUCAGAGUAUAAGAAAUGCCAUCAUAGCUUUUUGCACAUGGUAAUGAAAUCAUUGGUGUAUUACCAAGAUUAAAUCACACAGGAAUGUCUACCUUCUGUUUCCCUUCCUGCUAAAAUUAUCAAGCGCCUUACAGUACCACCUGUGAUGAUAGGCAGGAUACGCAAAAUUUCAAAGCUUCGCACACCUUCAUGUUAGAACUAAUUGGUAUUUAGUCUACUAUAAUUUUGGCAUUUUAGAGCCUAAUAACUAAUUCUUAAAACAUUAAUACAUCUACUUAUAAUGAAUGUUCAAUAUGUGCAGUGCAUAUGUUGUUUUACUUAUAAAUCUAAGUUAAUCAUCAAAGAAAUUCUUUGAAGUUUCUUUCCAUUAGACAGAUGUGAAAAUUGAGGCACAGGACAAAUAGUGACAAAGGUAGGAUUCAGUCUUCAUGCUGAUUCAUUCCCAAACUCAUCUAGUUUAAUUCACUUAGUUUGUAAUUACUGAAAUUGGCGCAGAGAGGUGAACUGCUUUUCCAAAGCACACACAACUGGAAAUUGGCAGAGACAACACUGGCACUCAGGUUUCCUGACAUCUACUUGUUAUCUUAAUUGCUGUGAGCCAUCAUUAUAGACCUGAGCCCUUCCAUCCUUUUUUUUCUUGCUUUCUCUUUGUUUCAGCGUGUAACAGCCGGUCUGAGAGACAUGUAAGCAAUAUCCAUUAGCACUACUGCCUGUGAUGUGUAGAGCAAUCACAUUUUUAAUGCACUCGAUGUCUAAGUCUUUGCUUGUCUGCAUAGCUUUUAAAGUGAUUUGGAGUACAUCUAUUGCUCACUUGGCAAUCAACGUUUGGCAAUCAAAUGGUAGAGUUAGACAUCUGUGGAUUUUUGCUUUCUCUCAUGUCCCUGGAAACUUUCCCCAGAGAAUACCAUACUAUAAGUUCCUAUAUGACAGCAAGGACCAUGACUGUUUUAAAAGAGCCUUUCACUCAAAACAGCACAGACCUGACUUGCCUUCCUGCACUUUAAAUGCUCAAGGAAGCAUGAUUAUCACAUUGGGUGUUGAAUGUCAUCAAUUGUUUAUUGGUGUCUAUUAGGAUGAUCAUAUGGCUUUCUUUUUUUACUAACUGGUGGUUCGCAUUCUUAUCUUUGAAUGUUAAGUCAACCCUGACUUCCUGACUAUUCAGUCUUGGGGUAGUUCCCUUGUAUAAAUGGCCCAUAUGAUAUGCUAGUACUUUCCUUAGUAUUUGAGGACUGUAUUUAUGACACUCAUCAAAUUUUGUCUUGAGUGGCCUGGGCUUCAUGAUGUGAAAUGUGAACACAUGCACAUUUAUGUAUAUGAAAAGCUGUUGAACCUAAGACGUGUACAAAGGGUAGUAUGUAAACUACCCUAUUUGAGUCCAUUUUUAAAAAAAAACACUGGGUUCACUCUGGCCUCAAGCCCAACUCAUUAGCAUGGUACUAGCUUAGGGAUCUACAUAAUUUUCAUUCCUGUACCUUGAACUAGGUACACAUAAGACUUUUAAUUUCCUCCAACCACCAUAUUCUUUCUUACUGUCAAAACUUUGCUAGCACUGUUCCUUCAGAAUGGAAUGACUCUUUUCCAUCUUUCCCUACCUGUAAGAAUUCUUUUCAUCCCUUUAGACUUAGAAUAAACAAUGUUCCUAGGGCUCCAGAUGUAGCUCAGUGGGCACCUGCUUGCUCUGCAUAUAUAUAAGUCCCUCGGUUCUACUCCCAGAAUGGGGAUGAAGGAGUGUCUUUAAGAGACAAUUCCUGAAGAUUCUGCAACCUUUCCAACCACAGGCAGAAUGAAUUAUACCUUCUUGGUACUGUCAUUGAACUUCACACACAGUGCUGGGCUACACUGAACAGAUGUGAAUGGGUUUUUCUGUCCUUUCUCUUAACCUAACAGUGCUUCUCAAUCUCCUCAUCUUUGGUAUUUGAGGCUAGAAGUACUCAACAGAGGUAUUUGGCAAAUAUUUAUUGAAGAAUAAAUGCUUCUUUCUAUACAAAGUCAGGGGAAGAGAAAGAUUAUAAUAUGAUAAAAUUAUCCUUAUUUUAUUAAAUGAAUGGAUACUCCAAAAAAUGAUGUAGAGAGAUACUGAAUUGUAUAAAAUUAAUGCAAAAGUUGUUUUUAAAAGAGUAAGUAUUUCAUUUAUUUGCUCAUAAUUUUACAAUCUAGAAUACCGCUCUUAUCAUAGACUAAUCAGACCGGAGUGCAUGGGAGAUUUAAAUAAAGAGUGAAGAGAUUCGUUUUUAUGGCUGCAGGAGGGGCAAAACCCUCUAGCAGAACCUGAGAUUCUCUGGGGGAUGAGAUAAAGAACUUCUCUGGGCAGCCCACAUUUAUUUAGUUACAAAGGAAGGGGAUACUGAGGAAAACUCUGGAGCUGAGCAGCAUCUUGGGAGCCAGUUCAAAGAUUUCCCCAAGUAGUAAAUCAUGCUAGUUAGGAGAACUGUCUUACCUGCACGUUGACAUUCACUGCAGGAGUGUGGAGCCUGAUGCUACAGUGUCUAUCUAGUUAAUCGAGGUUGAAGCCAAGCAUCCUCAGGUGUGGCUUUAUCCCAUACUUUGAGGCAUCAUCACAGCAUCCCAGGCUAUGAAAGGCCUCAGCUGGACUAGGGAUUCAAAGCUGUUUACUUACCUUGAAUCUUCUGCCCAUCUCCAGACAAAGAGCCCAGGCCUGCGACAGACUCACAAGAAAACAUAGAAAAAGCCGACUGAUUAAUUUUAAAUCCCUGCUCAGAGCCACUUCAUAGUGGUCUCCAUCACUCUGUGGAGACAGCUCAGUAGCACCACACGGGGUCAACUUUGAGGUACUCAGCUGGUGGACCCACUUCUAACGUAGUGCUAAUGGCAAGUUGGUGCUGGCUGCCAGCUGGGAUCUCAGCUGAAGCUAUUUCCUCAGACUUGACUUGUUAUCCACAAGACGAUGCCGUAUAGCUUGGUUAGACUUCUAAGAAUGGCAGUCCCACUGUUCAACUUCUGAGCGGUGAAUGGCUUACUCUACAGUGCAGAAACAAAAGCUGCCAGGUCUUCCUGGCAGGAAGGAGCAGGAGAAGGGCUGAGAGCUGACCUGCUUUCUUCUCAAUUGUGGCUAAAAGAGGUCAUUGGGCCAGCCUAAGGAGGAGCCCUACGAGAAAACAAAUAGUAAGAGGCAGCGUUCAGUAGGAGCCACCAGAAUAACUGUCUCCCACAGUAAGAGUGCUACCAUAUAACUUAUAAAAAUGAAGUCAUUCUUAUUUAAAACUCUGGUCUAUCCUCCCUGGUGAGGGUGGAUGUUGAUGCAUUAUGAGAUUUUCUUCAAACAAAAGUGUCCUGAAAAAUCUAUAUUCAUUUAACAUUUUAAUUCCAAGUUUUAGUGCUCAAUGUGCUCAGUAGAACAUGAGGCUUAAUCAGUAGAACAUGAGGCUUAAUUCCAAGUCGUGCCUUGUAGACUCUAUGCCCGCUUAUAAAAUUUUAAAGUCUUAGCUCCUCUCACUUGUGUGAUAUUAUGAUCCUUUUAAAGCUAAAAUCUGUCCAGUUUCCUUUGCAAGAAGGGUGGUUUGGAAGCUUUGGGUUUGUAGAAGAAAUGAAAAAUUUAACAUUUUUUAUACUGGAAAAAUUUUUAGAAAAUGUAGUGUUCCAUUAACAUUCUUUAUAACAAUACUGUGCUCACAACUAAAUUUUUCAGGCUUCAACCUUGUGUAUACAAUAAUGCAAUCAAUUUUUUGUGAUAUUCUACUUUUAUAGUCUUGACUUUGCUACCUCCUGCACUUUGGCAUUAGAUUUUUUUGUUUCCUGGACUGUUUUUAACCACAUGUCCUGAGGACCCAAUUACUGACUUUUUAAUCUGAUUAGCAGUGGGGUUCUGUAUCUGUUCUGGCAAAUCACAGAUAAACAUGCUCACAAGUGCUGUCUGCUCACAGUAAGUCUUUCCACUUUCAACAGUGUUGUAUAGUGAGUUUGAGUUCGAUUUAGGCUUAGAAUUUUAAUCCUUAAACAUCCCUUUCUAGGAAUGUGAUCUUGCCCAAGUGACUCAACCUCUCCAUAACUUGGCUUUCCUAUCUAUGUAGUGGGCAUGAUGAAAAUAUCACACAGGAGGAUUAGACAAACAAAGCAUGCAAAACACUAAACACAGUGUCAUUCAAUACACGUAUUACAUUGUUGCCAUUACUACUGUUGAAAAUGUGUAUGCACACUCUCAUCCAUUCCUAAGUAGGUUACCUCCAAAGACCUUUAUUUUCUCCUCUAUUUAGUCACUUGAAUCUGCCAUCUAACAUUUUCAGUAUCAUUUUAGUAUUUGACUCAGGUUGAAAAAAAGGAGGAAUUGAGGCUAAUUCCUAAGGCUUCCUGUAGUACUGUUUAGGAGUGGGAGCAGUUGAAAUCACACAGAGUAUCAUAAACCUAGUAACAAAUGAGGCUCUCAGCAGACUUUUGUAGAAUACCGGGUAACAUUAGUUCAGUGUGCCAGUUGAGAAAAUUGACUAAAAAUUAAUGCAAAUUUAGCAAAAUAUUUAAAUGGAAGAUACUAGUAGCCCUAGUAGCAUAGACUUAAUUUUCAUGAUUGUGACACAUUCUUUUUCAAGUUGUAAGUAAGGCUGGUGCACCUAUGAGUUCCUAUUUGCAUUCAAACUGGGCCCUUCUGUCACUGACACAUUAGAACUCACAAAUUUAGGCUGAAAGAAUGCUUCCUAAUCCUGAGUCACCUGUUCUCUGCUCCCCUAAUUACAGAGCUUUAUAAUCAGCAUUGCUUAUAAACGUGAGACUGACAAUUCAAAUGGACACAUUUGUGCUACGUAAAGAUAGAUCACAAUUAUCUGGGACUUGGGUAAUCAGGAAAGAUAAUUGUUGAAUAAUUGACCAAGGUGGCCCAUAUAUCUGCCCAGGUGGGGGGAAACAUCUCUGUUGCAUGUUUGGCUUGACUAACCCAUUUGUACACUAUUUUUGUACUAUUUACAAAAUAUGUUCGGUAGAAUAUUAUAAAUUGAUGAAAGUAUUUUACACUCACAAAAUGGUUGACUUUAUCAAAUAAGUGUGAGAAGAUUAAAAGAAUAGUAUUUCUCCUUUUAAGUGAUAAUUUAUUCUUACAUUUAAGUGCCCAAAUCUUGCAAUAAGACAUACUUGCAAUAAGAUCUUGCAAUAAGACAUACUACUUUCCUUAAGAAGCUGAUAAAAUAGAAAGUAUGUUCUGAACUUAACCAUGUAUUUAAAAAAUAAAAGACUGGUUCCCACCAUCAUCAGAGUGUCUCAGGGCUGGUCCAACACAAAAUAUCUUGGGAAUUUCUACUUGUCUUAUUUAUCUUACUUCAUUCUAUUUAGUAUUAAAUUCAACAUUUGGAUAACUAAAAAUGAUUUUGACCACUUUACUUCCAUCCAAUUUUCCUUCCUUUAUUUUUUUUUUACCCUUUCCAACCCAGACAGGUUGCCAGAUUGAACAAAUAAAAAUAUAGGCACCAGUGACAUUUCAAUUUUAAGCAAAUAGUGAAUUCUAAGUAUGCACCACAUACGCAUGGGAUAUCUGAAUAUAAUUGAGUGUCCUGUAUUAUCUGGAAACAUUAAGCCAAAGUCAAAUGAGCUACCAAUAACUAAUUAAUUAAACUGUCAGCUUAAUUUCCUAAUAAGUACAUAGGAAGAAUUCAUUCCAGCCUUGUAGAAUAAGUUUUAAAUUUUUUUCAUAAUAAAAGUGUGACGCUCCUUUUGUGACAGCUUGAUCUUCUAUCUUUUUAUAAUUCAAAAAAUACAUAGUAUAAGCCCAAGCAUAUGCCACACGCUCAUAAUUCCACUGCUAUAAUCCCAGCAAGAGUCAACAGUUUGAGUCCAGCUACGCAAUUCAGUAAUUUAAUGAGACUUUAUCUCAGAAUUUAAAAAGAAAGGCAGAGGAUGUAACCCGGUUUGUCACUGGGUUCAGUCUGAGCUCAUCUGGAGCUCAAGUCUGCCCCACAUUCUUCAUUCCAGUCAGAUAGUUGGAGCACUUUCAUUUAACAGGUGAAGAAGCUGGGCCUCAAAAAAGCACCCAGGAGAAUUUUCCCACAAGGUGCUGAGGCUUGAGUGUCACUGUCUAACUCUCAGUGGCCUGGACUCAUGCUCACAUUGUCUGUUCUUCACUGUAUUUGGUAGGACAAAAAAAUACCAAGUCGAAACAAAAAACAGAAAACAUAAUGGAUGUAGUCAGCCACACUUACCAUUUUAAUUGAUUCAAUCACAGUAAAAUGAAAUACAUUAAAAUAAACAUAAGGCUUAAAUUAUACUGGUUAUGACUUAGUUUGUUUUGACAAGGCACCGACUGCGCUGUCUCCUAGACUGUCAGUCCCUGUCCCUCGAAUAGAAUAUAAGAACACACAUUUAAAGAAAAUCCCAGACCGAUUUUCAUAUACCUGUGUUUCUCUUUAAACUAUUAUUCUGAAAAAAUAGGCACCUCAAAUAUUUUAUAAAAAUAAAAAUAAAGCCACAAUAAUGUUUGUAAGAGCGACAGUUGUGGUAGGUCCUUCUAUGAAAAACAGAGCAUUAUACUCAUAGUACACAGUGUACUAUGAUGCCUAAGUUCUAACCUCACCCAUGUUGGCCAUGUAUUUAAAUCAAUUUUCAUAACUCAAUCUGCUAACUCAGUCUGUAUUUUUCUGCAUGUCUUUCCUCUCUUAUCUCAUCAGUCAGACAUUGCUGGCGCAAAGUGAAAUCAUUAUAGCAGUCUGCUUGUUUCAUUAGGAAGUGGAACAAUAGUUUAAUGUUUUAAGGAAAUAGCAAGGAAUGAACUAAAUGCUGUGUUGACUUUUCCCCCAAAUCAUGUGAUUUUUCUGAAUUGGUGUGGUGACAGGUUAUCAGUCACAGAUGGCUAAUCCAUGAGUGUUGGUUGCGUUAAAGAUCAUGCAAGCCCUAAAGUUCUAGCAUCAUAAACAUCAGUUCCAUUCAUCUCUAUUCAAUCUUUAGCUUACCUGAGGUUUUUAAAAAUAUAAAAUGUUAAGAAGUAUUUGAUCUCUAAUCUUGACUUGACCUUUCUGAUCCCUGGCUUCCUCUUCCAUAAAAUAGGGAUGGUAGUGACACCUCCUCCAUAAAAAUCACUGUGCAGAGUUAGUAUAAAAGCAUUCAGCAUCACACCUGAUACAUUAUACUAAAUGUUAGGCAGUACUAUUACAAAUUCAAAAGCCAGAUGGUGAUCUCAGUUUUUGUUCUUAUUCAUGCAUACUAGCACCUUAUCUGUUUAUAACACUUUAAUCUUUAUGAAACAUUUUCUUGAUCUCCAAGUGCCUCCUCCUGUGUGAUCAAUGUUGGCAAUGAUUAGAGUACAAAUGGAGGAUAGUCUUCCUUUAGAAUUGCACCUGUCUCUAAGUCAGGUAGAAGGUCUGUAUAUAUGAGUGAUUCGAGAAAAUUUUAACUAAGGAGUCCUGUAAAAGUUUUAUCACCUAUCAUUCCAGAUUAAAUAUCAUUUAUCAAAGAUAUUUGUGAUCAGACAUGUUUCAGGUCUGGGGGCUUGGGGAUUUUGGAAUGUUUGCAUACUAAUAAAAUUUGUUAUCUUGGAGAUGGGAUUCAAAUCUAAACAAUAAAUCAAUUUAUGUUUAAUAGGUCUCAUAUAUGUUCAAUAGCCAGAAGGUAAUUUUAUAUAACAUCUUAUAGGUAACAUUAUAUAACAUUUACAUACAAAUAAUUUUGUACAUAAAACAAAGUUUGAUGGUAUGGGAUUUUCCUCUUGUGACAUCCUGUCAAGCACUUUAAAAUUUUUAGGAAUUGAAGUACUUUGAAUUUUGGGGUUUGGAAUCCUCACCCUACAUUAGAACUACUUAUUCUAGCGUUUCCUGUCAAUGCUAUUCAAAGCACCGUGAGUGAAGACCUAACUUCGCCAAAACUUAAGGCUCCUCUAAGACUGACGCCAUGAUAGGCAAUGAGAUUUGGCCCUGAUCCUAGGAGUUACUGGCUCAUGUUCACAAGCUAUAGUGUUAUCUGCUUUCAAAUUUAGUCAUUAAGAGUGUAACUUACAUCAUUCACAUGGGAUGUAACUAGCUACUUGUCCAUAAAAUAGAGUUUACCUGGUGAUAACCUGAGGUCACGUGAAAGAAUAAACGUAAACAUCUAUGCAGUUAAGGAGACACUCUGAGUUGUGUGCAUGGAGACAGAUGUGGUCCUUUGCAUGCUUAGGUUAGAAACUAUUAUGAAAUGACAAGUGAUGCUAACUGAAUAAAAGCCUCAUGAUUUAGCACUUUCCUGUGAAGGACUCAGGUUUCCUUCCAGAGCACUGGGAUUUCUAAAUACUUAUAUUUUUCUUGGAGUUAUAUCUACAUACAAGUUAGUAUACUGUAAACUAAAUUACUUAAGAAUAUUUACUUCCACAUAGUCAGAGCAUCAGGUAAAAUUCUGCGUUAGUCAGACUCCUAGUUCCCCAUCUGUUAAUAGACAAUAAGUCAUUUGAUCUCUGGGGAAACAGAUUCUCUUCUCUCAAGACAGUCAUAAGAAUUGACACGUAUAUUAAAGAUGUUCAGUAACAAGAAGAUCUAUGAAUACAGGUGAAAUCAUUUUUCCAAAAUGAGCUAUGUAUUUGUAGUCUACUUAUUUUUCUAGCUCACUUCUAUAGAUGGGAUUAAAACCAGCACUUACAAGCCAGUGACAGAGCAAAGAAGUCAACACUCAAAUAUUUAACUUUCUACCUCACAGAAUUCUUUCGAAGCUAAUAUAUAAGAUGCUUGCAGACAGUUAGGGCAGCAGAGUGAGCUGCAGGAAUGACACAGAUCCUGUGUGGCUAAUAGUUGGCACUUCCAAGUCAAGUGAUACCCGGUGCUGCACAACAUUUCAAGUAGCCUCAGAAUAAAACCCAUUUUCACACUUACCAAUAUGUACAGAACUUUACAUUUUACAAGACAUUUUCCACUCACAUUA